GACCCACUGGGAAAGUGAUGAAAGAAAUAAAAGCUGAAAUAAAUCAUUCUCUCUACUAUUAUUCUGACAUUUCACAUUCUUAAAAUAAAGUGGUGAUCCUAACUGACCUAAGACAGGGAAUUUUUACUAGGAUUAAAUGUCAGGAAUUGUGAAAAACUGAGUUUAAAUGUAUUUGGCUAAGGUGUAUGUAAACUUCCGAUUUCAACUGUACCUAUAUUAACAUAUUCAUGUUGAAAUAUUAUUGCGCCAUCUGGCCUAUAGGUAUUAACCUGAUCUAUAUGAUAUGCUUGUGGCCUAAAUAGCACCCUUAUUCUUUAUAUAGUGCACUACUUCUGACCAAGGCCUAUAGGUAUUAACCUGAUCUAUAGGAUAUGCCUGUGGCCUAAAUAGCACCCUUAUUCUUUAUAUAGUGCACUACUUCUGACAAAGGCCUAUAGGUAUUAACCUGAUCUAUAGGAUAUGCCUGUGGCCUAAAUAGCACCCUUAUUCCCUAUAUAGUGCACUACUUCUGACCAAGGCCUAUAGGCAUUAACCUGAUCUAUAUGAUAAGUAUUAUGCCUAAAUAGCACCCUUAUUCCCUAUAUAGUGCACUACUUCUGACCAAGGCCUAUAGGUAUUAACCUGAUCUAUAGGAUAUUCUGUGGCCUAAAUAGCACCCUUAUUUUCUAUAUAGUGCACUACUUCUGACCAAGGCCUAUAGGUAUUAACCUGAUCUAUAGGAUAUGCCUCUGGCCUAAAUAGCACCCUUAUUCCCUAUAUAGUGCACUACUUCUGACCAAGGCCUAUAGGUAUUAACCUGAUCUAUAGGAUAUGCUUGUGGCCUAAAUAGCACCCUUAUUCCCUAUAUAGUGCACUACUUCUGACCAAGGCCUAUAGGUAUUAACCUGAUCUGUAUGAUAUACUGUGGCCUAAAUAGCACCCUUAUUCCCUAUAUAGUGCACUACUUCGGACCAAGGACCUAUAGGGCUCUGGUCAAGAGUAGUGCACUCUGUAGGGAAUAGGGUGCCAUUAGGACCACACUAUGUAUGUCUGCUUCUGAAGGACACAGAGAGUGGUGCCGCUCUGUCGGUGUUUAAGAGAGGACAUCUGUCGAACGUCUCUGAGUGUGCCUUGAUUCCUGACAAGAAAAGGCUGAUUACUGCGUCAUGGGACAAGACCCUAAAUGCAUGGGACCUGGAGACUGGCAAGAUCAUUUGGACUGCAGCUCAGGGUGGUCUCCUGACGUCAUGUAGCGUCUCGGAGGACGGGAAGUACGUCGUCUCCUCCUCAGACCUGGAGAACGCAAUCUGCCUGACCUCAGCUGAUACAGGGGAGAGGCUCUUCCACGUCAAAGGUACGUCCUAAAGUCAUUCACUGACCUCAGCUGAUACAGGGGAGAGGCUCUUCCACGUCAAAGGUACGUCCCUAAAGUCAUUCAACAAGUAGUUAUCGAUCUCUAUAUCGAUUUUUCCAUUGAGCUACGCUAAUGCUAAGCUAGGCUCGCGCUAUCAUAAGCUAUCACAUGGUAAAGGUAGAGUCAGCGAUGCUGGGAGUAAACAGCACCGUCGAGCAGAUUUCUGCAACAACUCAAGUAGUAUGAAUCACCAGGCUGAACUUCUCUGCUGUUUUGGGUCCUGAAGCAGUGUGAAGAACGCCCCUCAACAAUGCACUGAUGUAACAUACCUGUAUACCACAGGUAAUACCUGUAUACCACAGGUAAUACCUGUAUACCACAGGUAAUACCUGUAUACCACAGGUAUGACAAAACAAUGCACUGAUAUUUUAUGUGUGUGUGUGUGUGUGUGUGCAACGUCUUGCAUCGCUCUCAUCUACAAUAUCCUGCUGCUCCUGGUAACGUCAGGUCACCGAGUCUCAGUUUAAGUCAUGUCUAAUGGUAACGUCAGGUCACUGAGUCUGUUUAAGUCAUGUCUAAUGGUAACGUCAGGUCACUGAGUCUGUUUAAGUCAUGUCUAAUGGUAACGUCAGGUCACUGAGUCUCAGUUUAAGUCAUGUCUAAUGGUAACGUCAGGUCACCGAGUCUCAGUUUAAGUCAUGUCUAAUGGUAACGACAGGUCACUGAGUCUCAGUUUAAGUCAUGUUUAAUGGUAACGUCAGGUCACCGAGUCUCAGUUUAAGUCAUGUCCAAUGGUAACGUCAGGUUACCGAGUCUCAGUUUAAGUCAUGUCUAAUGGUAACGUCAGGUCACCGAGUCUCAGUUUAAGUCGUGUCUAAUGGUAACAUCAGGUCACCGAGUCUCAGUUUAAGUCAUGUCUAAUGGUAACGUCAGGUCACCGAGUCUCAGUUUAAGUCAUGUCUAAUGGUAACGUCAGGUCACCGAGUCUCAGUUUAAGUCAUGUCUAAUGGUAACGUCAGGACACUGAGUCUCAGUUUAAGUCAUGUCUAAUGGUAACGUCAGGUCACUGAGUCUCAGUUUAAGUCAUGUCUAAUGGUAACGUCAGGUCACUGAGU
rnacentral:lncRNA from 8 species